rnacentral:rRNA from 1 species
AUGGCAGCUGUUGCAUCGGAAAAGUUUGCUGGACAAGGAGUUCCCCGGUUCGUCCAUACUACAGACUUGCUCUUCCAGGAGUCAGGACUCAGGACUAGUCUAUAUCCACGUGAAACACCCCAAGUUAUGAGUGAAUUAAUUCACACCACAAAUGGCAAUGAAAAGUCUCUAUGUGCAACACCCCAGCCAUUGGCGUGCAAGGCCAUUCAACAAGACCAGGAGUCUGCAAUUCCCACAUGUUUCCUGCCAUCUCUUGGACCGCAAGAGCUAUAUCUCGCUUAUAGCGAGACAAUAGCUGCUCUUGCCUGA